rnacentral:rRNA from 1 species
GAUGAACGCUAGCGGCAGGCCUAACACAUGCAAGUCGAGGGGCAGCAUAAAAAUAGCUUGCUAUUUUGGUGGCGACCGGCGCACGGGUGCGUAACGCGUAUGCAACCUACCUUAUACUGGGAGAUAGCCCGGAGAAAUUCGGAUUAAUACCCCAUAGUAUUAUUGGAUCGCAUGGUUUGAUAAUUAAAGGCUACGGUAUAAGAUGGGCAUGCGUCCUAUUAGCUAGAUGGUGAGGUAACGGCUCACCAUGGCGACGAUAGGUAGGGGGCCUGAGAGGGUGGUCCCCCACACUGGUACUGAGACACGGACCAGACUCCUACGGGAGGCAGCAGUGAGGAAUAUUGGUCAAUGGGCGCAAGCCUGAACCAGCCAUGCCGCGUGGCAGGAAGAAUGCCCUAUGGGUGUAAACUGCUUUUAUUGGAAUAAACCUCUUUAACGUGUUAGAGAGCUGAA